rnacentral:rRNA from 1 species
UACGUAGGCAGCAAGCGUUGUUCGGAGUUACUGGGCGUAAAGAGUGCGUAGGCGGUUUCCUAAGUUUGGUGUGAAAUCUCCCGGCUUAACUGGGAGGGUGCGCCGAAGACUGGGGAGCUAGAGGAUGGGAAAGGCAAGCGGAAUUCCUGGUGUAGCGGUGAAAUGCGUAGAUAUCAGGAGGAACACCGGCGGUGUAGACGGCUUGCUAGACCACCCCUGACGCUGAGGCACGAAAGCGUGGGUAGCAAACAGGAUUAGAUACCCUGGUAGUCCACGCCCUAAACGAUGCAUACUUGGUGUGGGCAGUUCAUUCUGUCCGUGCCGGAGCUAACGCGUUAAGUAUGCCGCCUGGGGAGUACGGUCGCAAGGCUGAA